UACGUAGGGGGCGAGCGUUGUCCGGAUUCAUUGGGCGUAAAGCGCGCGUAGGCGGCUCGACAAGUCGGCCGUGAAAUCUCCAGGCUCAACUUGGAGGGGUCGGGCGAGACUGUCGGGCUCGAGGUGGGCAGAGGGCAGUGGAAUUCCGGGUGUAGUGGUGGAAUGCGUAGAGAUCCGGAGGAACACCAGUGGCGAAGGCGGCUUACUGGUCCAUUACUGACGCUGAGGUGCGAAAGCGUGGGGAGCAAACAGG
rnacentral:rRNA from 1 species